rnacentral:tRNA from 2 species
GGCUACGUAGCUCAGUUGGUUAGAGCACAUCACUCAUAAUGAUGCGGUCACAGGUUCGAAUCCCGUCGUAGCCACCA